rnacentral:misc_RNA from 1 species
UUUUUUUUUGAAAAACAAAAAAUGUAGAGUACUCAAAUUAACCCAAUCAAAUGUUCUAGCUUAUAACAUCUACUCACCAUUUUAAGUUGGUAGCCAUGACAAAUUCUGUAAAAAUUUUCAUCAGUUCCCCUCAUGCCUGCCACUGUGUUACCAAAAAUAACAACCUAAUUCCUCGCAUGACACUGAGCUUCUAAGGUUUUAGCCAAAAAAGCCAUCAAUUUCAAUGUCUACAAUAUCUAUCAAUUGUCCUUCUCUUUGAAGGAGUCAAGAAGUAUACUUUUUUUUUUUU